rnacentral:rRNA from 1 species
AGGUUACUGCUAUCGGUGUUCGCCUAAGCCAUGCGAGUCAUAUGUUCUUCGUGAACAUGGCGUACUGCUCAGUAACACGUGGAUAACCUGCCCUUGGGUCCGGCAUAACCCCGGGAAACUGGGAAUAAUUCCGGAUAACGCACAUAUGCUGGAAUGCUUUAUGCGUCAAAUGGAUUCGUCCGCCCAAGGAUGGGUCUGCGGCCUAUCAGGUAGUAGUGGGUGUAAUGUACCUACUAGCCUACGACGGGUACGGGUUGUGAGAGCAAGAGCCCGGAGAUGGAUUCUGAGACAUGAAUCCAGGCCCUACGGGGCGCAGCAGGCGCGAAAACUUUACAAUGCGGGAAACCGUGAUAAGGGGACACCGAGUGCCAGCAUCCUAUGCUGGCUGUCCGGGUGUGUAAAAUACACCUGUUAGCAAGGGCCGGGCAAGACCGGUGCCAGCCGCCGCGGUAACACCGGCGGCCCGAGUGGCGAUCGUGAUUAUUGGGUCUAAAGGGUCCGUAGCCGGUUUGGUCAGUCCUCCGGGAAAUCUGACAGCUUAACUGUUAGGCUUUCGGAGGAUACUGCCAGACUUGGAACCGGGAGAGGUAAGAGGUACUACAGGGGUAGGAGUGAAAUCUUGUAAUCCCUGUGGGACCACCUGUGGCGAAGGCGUCUUACCAGAACGGGUUCGACGGUGAGGGACGAAAGCUGGGGGCACGAGCCGGAUUAGAUACCCGGGUAGUCCCAGCCGUAAACGAUGCUCGCUAGGUGUCAGGCAUGGCGCGACCGUGUCUGGUGCCGCAGGGAAGCCGUGAAGCGAGCCACCUGGGAAGUACGGCCGCAAGGCUGAAACUUAA